AGUGGGAUAACUGGGUCAAAUAGUAGUUCUAUUCCAAAUUUUCUGAGGAAUCUUCAUACUGCUUUCCAUAGUGGUUGCACGAUUUUUAGUCCCACUAGCAAU
rnacentral:pre_miRNA from 1 species